rnacentral:lncRNA from 1 species
GGUGACUUGGUCUUUAAGGAUUUGAUUCAAGGGUGGUGAAUCGGCACGUGCAGCCCACAACGCCUAGUAAGUCGACCCAAGAAUUUGAGGGUCAAAACGAGUUCACCGUCCUCAGGCAGAUGCGGCAUCUUCUCGAGUUCUUCAUCUCAGACUCUUUCUGCUGAGUUGACUGUGCAUGCUGCAUUCUUCUCUGCUUGUUUCUUCAGGCAGAUGUGGCAGCUUCUCGAGUUCCUCAGUUCGGACUCCUUCUGCUGAGUUGACCGUGCCGACCGCAUUCUUCUCUGCUUGUUCCUUCUGCACCUUGUCUCCACAUGCUGCAAGGUAUCAUUUUCACUUGCCUUAUCUGUUCUCCAGGCAGAUGUGGCAGCUUCUUUG